UGACUACUCCCUCCGUCCGAAAAUACUUGUCACACAAAUGGAUGUAUCUAGAACUAAANNNNAUCUAGAUACAUCCAUUCAUAUGACAAGUAUUUUUGGACGGAGGGAGUACUUG
rnacentral:pre_miRNA from 1 species